rnacentral:tRNA from 1 species
GGGGGUGUAGCUCAGUGAUACAGCACUUGCUUAGCAGGGGUGAGGCCCUGGGUUCAAUCCCAAGCACCACCA